rnacentral:rRNA from 1 species
UGCUUUACACAUGCAAGUCGAACGGAAAGGCCCUUCGGGGUGCUCGAGUGGCGAACGGGUGAGUAACACGUGGGUGAUCUGCCCUGCACUUUGGGAUAAGCCUGGGAAACUGGGUCUAAUACCGAAUAGGAUCACUGGCUUCAUGGUCGGUGGUGGAAAGCUUUUGCGGUGUGGGAUGGGCCCGCGGCCUAUCAGCUUGUUGGUGGGGUAAUGGCCUACCAAGGCGACGACGGGUAGCCGGCCUGAGAGGGUGACCGGCCACACUGGGACUGAGAUACGGCCCAGACUCCUACGGGAGGCAGCAGUGGGGAAUAUUGCACAAUGGGCGCAAGCCUGAUGCAGCGACGCCGCGUGAGGGAUGACGGCCUUCGGGUUGUAAACCUCUUUCAGCACAGACGAAGCGCAAGUGACGGUAUGUGCAGAAGAAGGACCGGCCAACUACGUGCCAGCAGCCGCGGUAAUACGUAGGGUCCGAGCGUUGUCCGGAAUUACUGGGCGUAAAGAGCUCGUAGGUGGUUUGUCGCGUUGUUCGUGAAAACUCACAGCUUAACUGUGGGCGUGCGGGCGAU